GAGGGUAUAGCUCAAGAGGUAGAGUGCAUGCUUAGUGUACACAAGGUCCUGGGUUCAAUUCCCAGUACUUGCU
rfam:Camelus ferus unplaced genomic scaffold scaffold473, whole genome shotgun sequence.